rnacentral:ncRNA from 2 species
AUAAAUCUUCAGGGCAGAGUGAAAUUCUCUACUGGCGGUAUACUCCGCGAACCUACGGGCCGAAUCGGUGAAACUCCGAUAGCAACAGUUAAAGUCUGGAUGAAAGAAGAGUUUU